rnacentral:rRNA from 1 species
UAUGUAGGGUGCGAGCGUUAAUCGGAAUUACUGGGCGUAAAGCGUGCGCAGGCUGUUUUGUAAGUCAGAUGUGAAAUCCCCGAGCUCAACUUGGGAACUGCGUUUGAAACUACAAGACUAGAAUAUGUCAGAGGGGGGUAGAAUUCCACGUGUAGCAGUGAAAUGCGUAGAGAUCUGGAGGAAUACCGAUGGCGAAGGCAGCCUUCUGGCCUAAUACUGACGCUGAGGUGCGAAAGCAUGGGGAGCAAACAGG